CAAGAGCGUAUGUAAAAGUUGUUGCAGUUAAAAAGCUCGUAGUUGAACCUUGGGUUUGGUUGGCCGGUCCGCUUUUUUGCGAGUACUGGAUUCAACCGAGCCUUUCCUUCUGGCUAACCAGUCGUUUCGGCGGCUGGCGAACCAGGACUUUUACUUUGAGAAAAUUAGAGUGUUCAAAGCAGGCAUUAGCUUGAAUAUAUUAGCAUGGAAUAAUAGAAUAGGACGUUAUGGUUCUAUUUUGUUGGUUUCUAGGACCAUCGUAAUGAUUAAUAGGGACGGUCGGGGGCAUCAGUAUUCAGUUGUCAGAGGUGAAAUUCUUGGAUUUACUGAAGACUAACUACUGCGAAAGCAUUUGCCAAGGACGUUUUCAUUAA
rnacentral:rRNA from 1 species